rnacentral:lncRNA from 1 species
CAAGGUGGAUCCAAUACUUAGCUUUUUGACACCCAAGAACUGAAAAAAUUGAAUCUUUACAAACCCCAAAAGAGAUAUACAGAUGCUAAUAACAAUCUUGAAAAUUGAAAAGUGACAAACUUUAUGCUUCUUCUUUUUUGGGGUUCUUGUUUGUUUUACAGUAAAUGAACUUCAGAAAGUAAUAAAGUUUACUAUUUUAAGUAAAUGGGGUUAAAGGGAAAGGUGGGAAAGAUGAAGAAGAAAAAGCAGAGGCACUAAAACAAAGCCUUGAAUGAACCUCUGGAUCUGCAGAGAAUGAAAGCAAAAAAAUUCUUCAUUCCACUGAAUAAUGAACUGAAUUAUAAAUCACUGUGAAAAUAGAGGGAAGUUGGUAUUUGGAGGUUUACUUGUCUUAGAGUUCUGUUUGGACUUUGGAUCGAGUUUCGCAACCUUAGUUCUUCGAACUCGGUUUAGUUCAGCUCCGAGCUAUUAGUUCAAGAGUAGUCUUCAUACGUUUACAAACGAGUCAACAUUUUAUUUUUGUCUGAAGAUGGUAUA